AGUGAACGCUGUCGGUAGGCCUAACACAUGCAAGUCGAACGGCAGCACAGUAAGAGCUUGCUCUUACGGGUGGCGAGUGGCGGACGGGUGAGGAAUACAUCGGAAUCUACUUUUUCGUGGGGGAUAACGUAGGGAAACUUACGCUAAUACCGCAUACGACCUACGGGUGAAAGCAGGGGAUCUUCGGACCUUGCGCGAUUGAAUGAGCCGAUGUCGGAUUAGCUAGUUGGCGGGGUAAAGGCCCACCAAGGCGACGAUCCGUAGCUGGUCUGAGAGGAUGAUCAGCCACACUGGAACUGAGACACGGUCCAGACUCCUACGGGAGGCAGCAGUGGGGAAUAUUGGACAAUGGGCGCAAGCCUGAUCCAGCCAUACCGCGUGGGUGAAGAAGGCCUUCGGGUUGUAAAGCCCUUUUGUUGGGAAAGAAAAGCAGCAGGUUAAUACCCCGCUGUUCUGACGGAACCCAAAGAAUAAGCACCGGCUAACUUCGUG
rnacentral:rRNA from 1 species